GACAUUCAUAGGUGUUGUUUGUCUUGGCGGGGUUUAGUUCAGUUAACGAUACAUACCCAUCUUCACCUUUAGUCAUGUGGAGGGGAAGAGAGAGACAUAGAGUCGGUGACUAUAGGAAGAAAAGGACGACUCAUGAAAUAUUAGCAGUGGAUGCUUCCUCCUCUCAUCGUCGCGUGGCGCUCCAUAUUGGCUAAGUUUUAUACUUUAUACUAUUUCUUCG
rnacentral:lncRNA from 1 species